rnacentral:rRNA from 1 species
UACGGAGGAUGCAAGCGUUAUCCGGAAUGAUUGGGCGUAAAGAGUCCGUAGGUGGCAUUUCAAGUCUGCUGUUAAAGGUCGGGGCUCAACUCCGAACAGGCGGUGGAAACUGAAGAGCUAGAGGUUGGUAGGGGCAGAGGGAAUUCCCAGUGUAGCGGUGAAAUGCGUAGAGAUUGGGAAGAACACCGGUGGCGAAAGCGCUCUGCUGGACCAAGACUGACACUGAGGGACGAAAGCUAGGGGAGCGAAUGGG